GGGAAAGGGAAAAAAAGCCCCAGUAUUAUUUAAUAUGAAAGGGGAGCACGUCUGACUAUCAAAUGCCUAUGGAAGACUGAUUAUAUCCCUACAGCGUUCUUCAAAGUCCUGAAGUUACAGAGUGGAAGAGGAAAUGAACUGCAUUGCAGUGACCUCUCUGGCCCGAACAGUGGGAACUGGCAGAAAGCUACUGGCUCAUGGGGUGCCAUUGUUAAGCACAAUGCAGUCUGUCGGUGUAUUGGAGGCCCUAACCGAGCACACAAAGACUGCACUCUUAGCAUGAAGCAAGACUUUUCUAUAGCGACCUUACCC